AGUGAACGCUGGCGGUAGGCCUAACACAUGCAAGUCGAACGGCAGCACAGGAGAGCUUGCUCUCUGGGUGGCGAGUGGCGGACGGGUGAGGAAUACAUCGGAAUCUACUCUGUCGUGGGGGAUAACGUAGGGAAACUUACGCUAAUACCGCAUACGACCUACGGGUGAAAGCAGGGGACCUUCGGGCCUUGCGCGAUUGAAUGAGCCGAUGUCGGAUUAGCUAGUUGGCGGGGUAAAGGCCCACCAAGGCGACGAUCCGUAGCUGGUCUGAGAGGAUGAUCAGCCACACUGGAACUGAGACACGGUCCAGACUCCUACGGGAGGCAGAAGUGGGGAAUAUUGGACAAUGGGCGCAAGCCUGAUCCAGCCAUACCGCGUGGGUGAAGAAGGCCUUCGGGUUGUAAAGCCCUUUUGUUGGGAAAGAAAUCCAGCUGGCUAAUACCCGGUUGGGAUGACGGUACCCAAAGGAUAAGCACCGGCUAACUUCGUGCCAGCCGCCGCAGUAA
rnacentral:rRNA from 1 species